GGGUGCGAUCAUACCAGCACUAAUUCACCGGA
rnacentral:rRNA from 1 species